AGCGAACGCUGGCGGCAGGCCUAACACAUGCAAGUCGAACGAACCUUUCGGGGUUAGUGGCGGACGGGUGGGUAACACGUGGGAACGUGCCUUUAGGUUCGGAAUAACUCAGGGAAACUUGUGCUAAUACCGAAUGAGCCCUUCGGGGGAAAGAUUACUCGCCUUUAGAGCGGCCCGCGUCUGAUUAGCUGGUUGGUUGAGGUAAUGGCUCACCAAGGCGACGAUCAGUAGCUGGUCUGAGAGGAUGAUCAGCCACAUUGGGACUGAGACACGGCCCAAACUCCGACGGGAGGGAGCAGUAGGGAAUCUUGCGCGAUGGGCGAAAGCCUGACGAAGCCAUGCCGCGUGAAUGAUGAAGGUCUUAGGAUUGUAAAAUUCUUUCACCGGGGACGAGAAUGACGGUACCCGGAGAAGAAGCCCCGGCUAACUUCGUG
rnacentral:rRNA from 1 species